rnacentral:misc_RNA from 1 species
CUUGGACCACUCUUUUACAACAGAUUUUGUAUUUGUGAAGAGGAACCACAACCUUCUUCAUCAUCAUCUCCCAAGCCUAUGAUGGGUUCUGAGUCAGAGUUGGCUGCAGAAGAAUUGGUUCUGUUUUGCAAUAAUUUUUCCAUUAUUGCAAAAUAUUCUUCAUCAUUUUUAGCUCCCGCUAAUCUCGCCAUGGCAUGUGAUCUUUGGGCCAAAAACAAUUGAUUUGAAAAGUUUUGUAUAGGAGUUGGUGGCAAAAGGUUUUUUCCCUUAAGCCAGGUUUUUACUCCUUGAUUUGUAAUUGUUUCUGGGAUAUUAAAUGAAUCCCACCAUUUUACCUUGAAUCUUCUGAUAAUUGUAUUCAAUCCAUCUUGAGGUCGAAAUUCAAAGAACCAGAUAAGGACCCAAGGUAAAAAGAAUUUUGAAGAGAACAAGAGAAAAGGAGGAAAUCUUUUCUCUUUGGGUGAGGGUUUGUAAUGGGUUUUGAAAAGAUUUAAACUCUCUGAUAUUUCUGGUGUAAGAAUUUCAGGUAGUGCACCAAAAUACUUCCACCACUGAGCAAACCAUGAAGGGGUUUUGGAAGGGUCAAAUGUUUUUUGGAAAUAGAAAAGCCAAGAAUGGCUAUUCUUGUGGUUUUGUAUGAGGAAGGUAUUAUACCAUGCCUGCUGGUAAUCCCAGUAAUUGAAAUGUUGGCAAUGGUCAAUCUUAUUUUGGAAUGAUAGUGGGAAGAUUUUUGGUUUUGUAAGGUCUUGUCCCCAAUCAGAAGGAUUA